CGGACGGGGGAGUAAUGUCUGGGAAACGUGCCCGAUGGAGGGGGAUAACUACUGGAAACGGUAGCUAAUACCGCAUAACGUCGCAAGACCAAAGAGGGGGACCUUAGGGCCUCUUGCCAUCGGAUGUGCCCAGAUGGGAUUAGCUAGUAGGUGGGGUAAAGGCUCACCUAGGCGACGAUCCCUAGCUGGUCUGAGAGGAUGACCAGCCACACUGGAACUGAGACACGGUCCAG
rnacentral:rRNA from 1 species